GAAAUGAGGCAGAGCUUCCUGGAAGCCACAGUCGAAACAACUUCAGACAUCCAGUUUAACCCGAGAGGUUUGAAUUCCUUCCUUUCUCUUAUCUUUCUUUCCUUUUUUCUUUUGUUCACUUUUAGCUCCAGUUUUCUUUCUUUCUUUUUUUUUGAAACAGAGUCUCACUCUGUCACCCAGGCUGGAGUGCAGUGGCGUGAUCUCGGCUCACUGCAACCUCCACCUCCCAGGUUCAAAUGAUUCUCCUGCCUCAGCCUCCCGAGCAGCUGGGAUUACAGGCGCCCACCACCACAGCUGGCUAAGUUUUGUAUUUUUAAUAGAGAUGGAGUUUCACCAUGUUGGCCAGGCUUGUCUCGAACUCCUGACCUCAGGUGAUCCGCCUGCCUCAGCCUCCCAAAGUGUUGGGAUUAGAGGCAUGAGCCACCGUUCUCAGCCAGUUUUCUUCUUUUUAAUCAUACAUACCACCCCGUGCCAAAGUCUCAUUCUGUCGAUGUGUGUAAUUUCCAGCUCAAAGUCCCAUUCUGUGGCUACAUCGACAUUUUUUGUUUCUUUUCAUCGCUAACACUGGUAAGGCAGCAAAAUGCCAAAUAUUUGUACCACGUACUUUGCUUAAAUGGCUCUAAGCCACUGUAGGCUAGGUCAGCUAGCACAGAGCUCCAGAGAAGGUGGAAUGCCACUUUCUGAGCCUGAUGACUUGCGGAAAUGGACCAUUUACAAUAAUUGAGAAGAAUCGUAAAAGGAAUAAGCUUCUUGUACAUUAGUGUUAUUUAAGGCUAAAUACCUGUAGCAUCUGAAAUUAUUUUGGAUUUGCUCCCCUUACUCUGUGAUAAAUUACAUUCUAAAUAUCUUAUUUCCUACUUCCUAUUCUUUCAUCCUCUCCCCCUCUAUCUCACUGCUUGUAUUUGAAUACAUUUUCUGUAUGCACCCCCUAAAUAGUAUUAGCCCCAGUACAAAUUAGCAUUUCUAAGUAUCCAUACCUCUAUAUAACAUGCAUAAGAUAAUUUGUCUGGCUGGGUGCAGUGGCUCACACCUGUAAUCCCAGCACUUUGGGAGGCUGAGGAGGGGGGGGUCACCUGAGGUCAGGAGUUCGAGACCAGCCUGGCUAAUACAAAAAUUAGCCAGGCAUGGUGUCAGGCGCCUGUAAUCCCAGCUACUCAGGAGGCUGAGGCAGGAGAGUCAUUUGAACGCGGGAGGCAGAGGUUGCAGUGCGCCAAGAUAGCGCCAUUGAACUCCAGCCCAGGCGACAAGAGUAAGACUCCGUCUCAAAAAAAAAAAAAAAAAAAAUCGACAGCAAGAAAACGUAUGCCUGAUACACAGCAGUGAAAAAAUGAUUUGUCACAGGUACUAUAGGAUAAAAUAUGAGACUUAACAUCAAAUUAGGGUAUUUUAGCUCCCUCAAAAUCACAUUCUUUUUUUCUUUUUUUUUUGAGACCGAGUCUCGCUUUUCCGCCCAGGCCGGACUGCAGUGGCGCUAUCUCGGCUCACUGCAAGCUCCGCCUCCCGGGUUCAGGCCAUUCUCCUGCCUCAGCCUCCAGAGUAGCUGGGACUACAGGCGCCCGCCACCGCGCCCCGCUGACUUUUUUUUUUUUUUUUUUUUUUUGUAUUUUUAGUAGAGACGGGGUUUCACCAUGUUGGCCAGGAUGGUCUCAAUCUCCUGACCUCGUGAUCCACCCGCCUUGGCCUCCCAAAGUGCCGAGAUUAUAGGCGUGAGCCACCGCGCCCGGCCAAAAUCACAUUCUGUAUCAGACAACUUCUUACUUAAAUUGAUAAGCAACCCGAUCCUACUAUUUAGAAAUAUUUUUCAUAUGCUAAGGAAUCUGUUAACUGGCUCUGUGAUGAAAGUAAUGAUUUUAGUUAAAGUAUAAGCAGUGGCAGUUCUGAGGGCUCAAAAUAGUAGCACAUUGAAAUGAUGAAAAGAUUCAUUUAAUAUACAUUUAUUGUGCAACUACAAUGUGCCAGCACUGUCUAGACCAGGAAAGAUCAGGGAGACUGACCCUUCUUUGGAGGAUCAGGAAGUCUUACAGUUCAGUCAAGCUCUCCAAGAAGAAAAAGAGUUUAUAAGAUUAUCCAGGACAGUAGGAUACUUCAGGCAGGGGGAACAGCAUGUGCAAAGUCAUGGAGGACUGCUCUGGGAAACGUGAGUGGUUCCAUGCAGCUAGAGUGAAAGGCUGUUAUAAAGGAGUGUGGCAGAAUAUGAAGCUGAAGAAGUAGGUAGAGGCCAGCUCACGCAAGCCUUAUAGGUUGGGGUGCACACAUUAUAGGUUGGGCUGUCAUCACAUUUGCCAUUUCUUCUUACUGCUAACAGAGUUUUGAUUUUGUUCAGGUGGUAGAGUGCCCAGGGACAGAGUAUAAAUUGCAAUUGGCCUAAGCCAAUUGUCUUAGUUUGUUCUGUGCUGCUAUAACAGAAUGUCAGAGAUUGAGUAGUUUAUAAAGAAAAGAUAUUUAUUUCUUAUAGGUCUGGAGGUGGGGAAGUCCAAGAUUGAGGGGCCAGCAUCUUGAAAUGACCUUCCUACUCCAUCAUCCUGUGGCAGAAGGCUGAAGGGCAAGAGAGGGUGAGAGAGAGAGAGCGGGAAAAGGGGGCUGAACUCAUCUUCUUAUAGGGAACCCACUCCCAAGAGGAGAACUGGGGAGACGUUGCAGCCGCCUCUGGGCACUGAAGACACAGCUUGUGCAGUUCUAGGAGCCGAAGACGUUCAAACCUGCUCUCUUGUCCUGACUGCAACCCUGGUGGAAUGUAGUAAGACUGCACGUCACUGUCCCCUUUGAAGUUAGGUUUGACCAUGUGACUCACUUUGACUGAUGAAAUGUGUGCAGAAGUGACCUAAGUCCUACCUGAGUGAAAGCUUUAAGAGCCACAAUAUGCUACAUUCUCCUUUACUGCUGCCUUCGAGAUUGUGUGAGCAGAUGUCAAGAUGGGUCUUGUCAGCAUGCUUCCCCCAGUGAUGCUGACGAGCAGAGCAACAGAGUGCAAGCAAAAAUAAAAGAUUUGCUGGGUGCGGUGGCUCACACCUGUAAUCCCAAAUUACAGGCAAAUUAUGCCUGUAAUUUGCUGGGAUUGGGAGGGCAAGGUGGGCAGAUCACCUGAGGUCAGGAGUUCAAGACCAGCCUGGCCAACAUGGUGAAACCCUGUCUCUACUAAAAAUACAAAAAAUUAGCCAGAUGUGGUGGCAGGUGCCUGUAAUCCCAGCUACUCGGGAGGCUGAGGCAGGAUAAUCGCUUGAAUCCGGGAGGCGGAGGUUGCAGCAAGCUGAGAUUGCACCAUUAUACUCCAGCCUGGGAGACACAGCAAAACUCUUUCUCAAAAAAAAAAAAAAAUAAAAUAAAAUAAAUAAAAUAAAAUAAAAGAUUUGUGGGGCU
rnacentral:lncRNA from 10 species